GAUGAACGCUGGCGGCGUGCCUAAUACAUGCAAGUCGAGCGAACAGAUAAGGAGCUUGCUCCUUUGACGUUAGCGGCGGACGGGUGAGUAACACGUGGGUAACCUACCUAUAAGACUGGGAUAACUUCGGGAAACCGGAGCUAAUACCGGAUAACAUUUGGAACCGCAUGGUUCUAAAGUGAAAGAUGGUUUUGCUAUCACUUAUAGAUGGACCCGCGCCGUAUUAGCUAGUUGGUAAGGUAACGGCUUACCAAGGCGACGAUACGUAGCCGACCUGAGAGGGUGAUCGGCCACACUGGAACUGAGACACGGUCCAGACUCCUACGGGAGGCAGCAGUAGGGAAUCUUCCGCAAUGGGCGAAAGCCUGACGGAGCAACGCCGCGUGAGUGAUGAAGGGUUUCGGCUCGUAAAACUCUGUUAUUAGGAAAGAACAAAUGUGUAAGUAACUGUGCACGUCUUGACGGUACCUAAUCAGAAAGCCACGGCUAACUACGUG
rnacentral:rRNA from 1 species